GAAAGUAUAAAAGGGCGCAUGGUGGAUGCCUAGGCUCUUGGAGGCGAUGAAGGACGUGAUAAGCUGCGAAAAGCUUCGGGGAGGCGCACUAGCCUUUGAUCCGAAGAUCUCCGAAUGGGACAACCCGCCACCUUGAAGGGGUGGCAUCUGUCAUUUGACAGAGGCAAACGCAGGGAACUGAAACAUCUUAUUACCUGCAGGAAAAUAAAACAAACGUGAUUCCCUUAGUAGUGGCGAGCGAAGCGGGAAUAGCCCAAACCUUUUGUGUUUCGGCACAGGAGGGGUUGUAGGAGCACGAUAAAUGGUACGUUUACUUAAGAGUUGAAUACGCUGGAAAUCGUAGUCAUAGCGGGUGAUAACCCCUUAAACGAAUUUUGAGACGGCCAAGUGUCAUCCUAAGUAUCGCGGAUCACGUGAAAAUCUGCGAGAAUCCGCCGGGACCAUCCGGCAAGGCUAAAUACUCCCAAGAGACCGAUAGUGAACCAGUACCGUGAGGGAAAGGUGAAAAGCACUUCUAGUCGAAGAGUGAAAGAGUUCCUGAACCCAUGCGCCUACAAGCUGUCGGAGCACCCAAUAGGUGUGACGGCGUGCCUUUUGCAUAAUGAACCUACGAGUUACCAGUUCCGGCUCGGUUAAGUACGAUGACGUACGUAUCCCUAGCGAAAGCGAGUCUUCUACGGGCGAGAAUUCUUUUUUUUUAAGAAGAUGUCGGUACUGUUAGACGCGAAACCAAGUGAUCUACCCUUGUCCAGGUUGAAAUACGGGUAACACUGUAUGGAGGACCGCACCAAUAAGCGUUGAAAAGCUUCUGGAUGAGGUGAGGGUAGGAGUGAAAGGCCAAUCAAACUUGGAGAUAGCUCGUACUCCCCGAAAUGCAUUUAGGUGCAGCCUCAGUAUUGCUUUUGCGAGGUAGAGCCACUGUUAAGUUGCGAGGGUUUCACCACCUGUCAAGACUUUGCAAACUCCGAAUGCGCAUGAAAGUUUAUACUUUGAGUGAGGGCACGGGUUCUAAGGUCCGUGUCCGAGAGGAGAACAAUCCAGACCAUCGUCUAAGGUCCCCCAAUGAUCGCUAAGUUAAUCUAACGCGGUAUCAUUCCCUUGACAGCUAGUAUGUUGGCUUGGAAGCAGCCAUUCAUUUAAAGAGUGCGUAACAGCUCCCUAGUCGAGGAAUGUUGCAUGGAUAAUACUCGGGUAUUAAGCGAUCUACCGAAGACAUGGAAUCGUUAUAUACGAUUGGUAGGGGAGCAUUCCAUGUGCGUUGAAUGAGAGAGAUGACUUUCUCUGGAGCGCAUGGAAAAGCAAAUGUAGGUAUAAGUAACGUUAAAGGGGGUAAAAAUCCUCCUCGCCGUAAGACUCAGGUUUCCUGAUCAACGUCAAUCGGAUCAGGUUUAGUCGGUUCCUAAGGUUCAGCCUAAAGGCGUCACCGAUGGUAUAAACGGUUAAUAUUCCGUUACUGUUUUCAAGAAGCGAUGCGUAGACGCAGGCGUGACAGUGCAGCCGUCUGACGGAAAAGACGGUUGAAGAGUUUAGCAGUAGAAGUCUGUAGGCAAAUCCGCAGACUGAUGUGAAUCUCGAUAGUACGUUGUUUUCUUAUGGAAGCGAUGAAAUUGCACGUAAUCUUACUGCCAAGAAAAUCCGCUAAGCAAUUUUUUGAGAACACCCGUACCUUAAACGGACACACGUAGUCGCGUAGAGCAUACUCAGGCGCAUGAACGACUCACGGUUAAGGAACUAGGCAAAUUGUCCCUGUAACUUCGGGAAAAAGGGUCCCGUCUUAGUGAUAAGCGGGCGCAGUGCAAGAGUCCAGGCAACUGUUUACCAAAAACACAGGGCUGUGCCAAGUCGUAAGACUCCGUAUACAGCCUGACACCUGCCCGGUGCCGGAAGGUUAAGAGGAGAGCUCAUCCAAAGAGAGAAGGUUUGAAUUGAAGCCCCGGUAAACGGCGGCCGUAACUAUAACGGUCCUAAGGUAGCGAAAUUCCUUGUCGGGUAAGUUCCGACCUGCACGAAUGGUGUAAUGAUCUGGACGCUGUCUCAACCGUGAAUUCAGUGAAAUUGUAGUAUCGGUGAAGAUGCCGAUUCCCCGCGAUGGGACGAAAAGACCCCGUGAACCUUUACUAUAUCUUAUCAUUGUAUGUGGGCCUGUAUUGUGUAGGAUAGGUCGGAGACUAAGACGCUUGUACGCCAGUUCAAGUCGAGUCGUCGUUGAAAUACGACCCUUUUCAUGUCUGUAUACUAACUCCUGUAUAGGAGGACAUUGAUUGGUGGGUAGUUUGACUGGGGUGGUCGCCUCCUAAAGCGUAACGGAGGCUUCUAAAGGUACCCUCUAUCCGUUUGGUAAUCGGAUAUAUAGUGUAAUGGCCUAAGGGUGCUUGACUGUGAGACCCACAAGUCGAUCAGGUAGGAAACUAGAGCAUAGUGAUCCGGUGUUUCCGCAUGGAAGGGACAUCGCUCAAAGGAUAAAAGGUACUCCGGGGAUAACAGGCUGAUCCCUCCCAAGAGCUCAAAUCGACGGAGUGGUUUGGCACCUCGAUGUCGGCUCGUCACAUCCUGGGGCUGGAGUAGGUCCCAAGGGUUGGGCUGUUCGCCCAUUAAAGUGGCACGCGAGCUGGGUUCAGAACGUCGUGAGACAGUUCGGUCUCUAUCUAUCGCGGGCGUUGGAAAUUUGCGUGGUACUGUCACUAGUACGAGAGGACCGUGACGGUCAGACCUCCGGUUUACCGGUUGUGCCGCCAGGCGCAUUGCCGGGUAUCCGCGUCUGUUAGGGAUAAGUGCUGAAAGCAUCUAAGCCCGAAGCCCUCCACCAGAUUAGAUUUCCUAGUUUUUAGGGUCGUCAAAGACGAUGACGUUGAUAGGAUGCAGGUGUAUGGAUGGAGACAUCUUCAGCCGAGCAUUACUAAUAGCCCGAAGCUUUCCUGUG
rnacentral:rRNA from 1 species